GAUGAAGAACGUAGCGAAAUGCGAUAAGUAGUGUGAAUUGCAGAAUUCAGUGAAUCAUCGAAUCUUUGAACGCACAUUGCGCCCUUUGGUAUUCCUUAGGGCAUGCCUGUUCGAGCGUCAUUUGAAACCUCAAGCUCAGCUUGGUGUUGGGUGUCUGUCCCCGCCUCACCGCGGGGACUCGCCUCAAAAUCAUUGGCGGCCGGUACGUUGGCUUCGAGCGCAGCAGAAACGCGAACUCGAGGCCCAGCGGAUCGGCGACCAGAAGUCACUUCUUCACAGUUUGACCUCGGAUCAGGUAGGGAUACCCGCUGAACUUAAGCAUAUCAAUAAGCGGAGGA
rnacentral:misc_RNA from 1 species